rnacentral:rRNA from 1 species
UAUACCGUGAAACUGCGAAUGGCUCAUUAAAUCAGUUAUCGUUUAUUUGAUAGUACCUUACUACUUGGACAACCGUGGUAAUUCUAGAGCUAAUACAUGCUGACAACCUCGACUUACGAAGAGGUGUAUUUAUUAGAUAAAAAACCAACGCCCUUCGGGGCUUCUUGGUGAUUCAUAAUAACUUUACGGAUCGCAUGGCCUUGCGCCGGGCGACGGUUCAUUCAAAUUUCUGCCCUAUCAACUUUCGAUGGUAAGGUAUUGGCUUACCAUGGUUUCAACGGGUAACGGGGAAUUAGGGUUCGAUUCCGGAGAGGGAGCCCGAGAAACGGCUACCACAUCCAAGGAAGGCAGCAGGCGCGCAAAUUACCCAAUCCCGAUACGGGGAGGUAGUGACAAUAAAUACUGAUACAGGGCUCUUUUGGGUCUUGUAAUUGGAAUGAGUACAAUUUAAACCUCUUAACGAGGAACAAUUGGAGGGCAAGUCUGGUGCCAGCAGCCGCGGUAAUUCCAGCUCCAAUAGCGUAUAUUAAAGUUGUUGCAGUUAAAAAGCUCGUAGUUGAACCUUGGGUCUGGCUGGCAGGUCCGCCUCACCGCGUGUACUUGUCCGGCCGGGCCUUCCUUCUGGAGAACCUCAUGCCCUUCACUGGGCGUGUUGGGGACCAGGACUUUUACUUUGAAAAAAUUAGAGUGUUCAAAGCAGGCCUUUGCUCGAAUACGUUAGCAUGGAAUAAUAGAAUAGGACGUGCGGUCCUAUUUUGUUGGUUUCUAGGACCGCCGUAAUGAUUAAUAGGGACAGUCGGGGGCAUCAGUAUUCAAUUGUCAGAGGUGAAAUUCUUGGAUUUAUUGAAGACUAACUACUGCGAAAGCAUUUGCCAAGGAUGUUUUCAUUAAUCAGUGAACGAAAGUUAGGGGAUCGAAGACGAUCAGAUACCGUCGUAGUCUUAACCGUAAACUAUGCCGACUAGGGAUCGGGCGAUGUUAUUUUUCUGACUCGCUCGGCACCUUACGAGAAAUCAAAGUUUUUGGG